rnacentral:tmRNA from 1 species
GGGGCCGAUUAGGAUUCGACGCCGGUAACAAAACUUGAGGGGCAUGCCGAGCUGGUAGCAGAACUCGUAAAUUCGCUGCUGCAAACUUAUAGUUGCCAACGACGACAACUACGC